rnacentral:rRNA from 1 species
AUUGAACGCUGGCGGAAUGCUUUACACAUGCAAGUCGAACGGCAGCACGGACUUCGGUCUGGUGGCGAGUGGCGAACGGGUGAGUAACAUAUCGGAACGUAUCCAAUAAUGGGGGAUAACGAGUCGAAAGAUUCGCUAAUACCGCAUACGCCCUACGGGGGAAAGCUGGGGACCUUCGGGCCUGGCGUUAAUGGAGCGGCCGAUAUCUGAUUAGCUAGUUGGUGAGGGAAAGGCUCACCAAGGCGACGAUCAGUAGCUGGUCUGAGAUGACGAGCAGCCACACUGGAACUGAGACACGGUCCAGACUCCUACGGGAGGCAGCAGUGGGGAAUUUUGGACAAUGGGCGAAAGCCUGAUCCAGCCAUUCCGCGUGCAGGAUGAAGGCCCUCGGGUUGUAAACUGCUUUUGUACAGAACGAAAAGGUUUCUACUAAUACUAGGAGCUCAUGACGGUACUGUAAGAAUAAGCACCGGCUAACUACGUGCCAGCCGCCGCCGUAA